AGGGCAGACAAAGCCCCCUUCACCGUCGCCAUCGCAAUGUCCCUGCUGGGGCUGGGAUCGGGACCGCAGCGGCGAGUCCCCGGAGCGGGAGCGACUGCCCAGCGCCAGAAGGAAGCGGCUGAAGAGGCGGCGCAGGGAGCGGCGGCGGCGGGGCCGGGGCGCGGGCGGCCCCUCUCCAGCCGCGUCCCCCGGGCCCGGGUCCAUGGCUCCCUCCGGUGUGGCCCCCGGAGCGCAGCCCCCGGGCCCGAGGCCGACCAGCAGCUCUCAGGACCUUACAACCCGGGAAAGGCGCCGAGCACCGGCUACCUGCGGGCCAGGUGUGCGCGGACGGGGCGGAGGCGGAGCCAAGGGCGGGGCCGCCCCGCCCCGCGCGGGAAUCUGGCUGCAGGGCCGGCCUUAGGGCAGUGCUGGGCCACCCGCAACCCCCCCCCCCCCGCUGGUCCCUCCCCCACGGUACAGACAGGAAUAAAAGCGCUGGGAGACUGUCGUCGUCUGAUUCCCCACCCUUCCUUACCUCUUAAAAACCAAGACAACUGGGUUUCACCUCUGCGCCCGUUCCCCGCCCAUCCUUCAAGCUUUGGAAAUAAAACAGGAAUGGAAAUUUCGAAAAUGCCAAGGAAAUGGCAAAGCCCUGGCUAUUACUAAUUCUCUUGGUUUAAAGUCCAGAUGAAAACGAAGAAAAGGGAGAAAGUCUCCCAAGGGCAGCCUCAGGUGUGGUGAGAGACGCGCUUUGGGAGCUGUGAAGGGGUGGGGGAGCGCUUUUGUGCACCGCUGGUUCCCCCGCAGGCUCAGGUGUGUGCGGACAGGUGUUGCCAUCUCCUAGCAGCUCAUCCGCCCCUGGGAACAGGCAGAGCCUUCCCAGGACCUGAACUGGGAGCCGCGUUGUUGCCCUGGGAAGAAACACCCAAACUGCUUGUGGGUUUCUUUUUUAGGCUACAGACUAUAGUCGUAUUCCAAAAACUUGCGAGACUUGAUCAUCCUCGUUUUAAUUGGUGGAGAAGUGGGCUUUGAGAGGUUCACGCAACGUAGGGGAGGCCGACCUGUAAGGAGAACCGGAACUCGACCCGGCUCUAAGGAUUGGCAAGCUCAGGCCCUUUCCGACCUCAGUAUUUGCUCAGCAGGAAGUUUUCCGGCUCUCAGGCGCGCCCCCUACGCCUUUGCCGGUUCACUCAACGCAAAAUCCUAGCUGCACCGUGGCCCAAUCAGAGACUUAUGCGGAGGCCCAUGAUGUUGCCGCUGUGUCCCACACCGACAAACUCCUGAUAUUCACGUCUUCCCACCAGCACCUCUAAACCACGGACAGCCAUGGAGGCCAAGGGCUUCUGCGGAACCUCCCUUUACUGUUAAAUCCACCCUCCUUUGGAGUCUCUGCUCAUGCUCAGUAAAAUACGGACACGA